rnacentral:rRNA from 1 species
UCAGACACGUCAGAGUUUGAUCCUGGCUCAGGAUGAACGCUGGCGGCGUGCAUAACACAUUCAAGUCGAACGGACUAAUGGGGCUUGCUCCAUUAGUUAGUGGCGGACGGGUGAGUAACGCGUGAGUAACCUACCUGUAUGUGUGGAAUAACACAGGGAAACUUGUGCUAAUACCGCAUAAUAUAUAACUAUCGCAUGAUAGAUAUAUCAAAGAGCAAUUGCAUACAGAUGGACUCGCGUCUGAUUAGAUAGUUGGUGAGGUAACGGCCCACCAAGUCUACGAUCAGUAGCCGAACUGAGAGGUUGAACGGCCACAUUGGAACUGAGAAACGGUCCAG